AAAGCCGCGUUGCCUCUGCGUUACUUUUCUUGUAGCCUGCUAUAUACUAUGUUAGUGCUAGUGGCCAAACUAAGGAGUUGGACGCAGAGAGAGAAAGGGGGUUGGGCGGUACGAAUGAGAGGCAUAUGGAAACAGUUCACCUGACACCCAGGAGCUUGAAUGUAGCAACAAUCGGGUUUUCAAUGAGGAGAUAAGGACAACCCUACAACGCAAAGUCAUCAGUCUUACUGUUACCUGAUGAUCUGCUCAUAUGUUUCAUUCUGGGGAAAAUCUAAGUAACGGCGUCGCACCAUUGACUUCUCAUGCGGCGGCCUCUUGCGUGUGGUGUUGGUGAUUAAGUGUGAUGAUUAACAGAGCGGUACAAAGUUGUGCAACAUGUACAUGUACUGUUUGCUACAGUGACUGUGCAAUGAUGGAUUGGGAGAUUCGUAGACUUUUUGUACCGGGACAUGCUAAAGCAAUAAUGUAUCAGAAUUCAAAAACUUUUAUCUCUUAAAUCGUUAAUUCGACUGAUGAUCCGUUUUCAUCGUUGACUUUGUUUCAACGAAAUCUUCAAAACUAGAUCCAUAUCGAUAUGUUUCGACAACUUUUUUUUCUCUCGUACUUUCCAUAUUUGUUGGACUUACUUGUCAUAUUAGUAAGUACUCCCUCCGUUUCAAAAUAUAAGACCUUUUAAGGAUUUCACUACCAGACUACAUACGGA
rnacentral:lncRNA from 1 species